UGGGGAAUUUUGGACAAUGGGGGCAACCCUGAUCCAGCAAUGCCGCGUGUGUGAAGAAGGCCUGCGGGUUGUAAAGCACUUUAGGGGUGGAGAAAGGCUGACUGGCGAAUAACCAGUUGGAUUGAUGGUACACCCAGAAUAAGCACCGGCUAACUCUGUGCCAGCAGCCGCGGUAAUACAGAGGGUGCAAGCGUUAAUCGGAAUGACUGGGCGUAAAGGGCAUGUAGGUGGAUGAUUGCGUUUGAUGUGAAAUCCCUGGGCUUAACCUGGGAAUGGCGUUGAAUACGGGUCAUCUAGAGUGAGACAGAGGGCUGUGGAAUUUCCGGUGUAGCAGUGAAAUGCGUAGAGAUCGGAAAGAACACCAGUGGCGAAGGCGGCAGCCUGGGUCGACACUGACACU
rnacentral:rRNA from 1 species